rnacentral:rRNA from 1 species
AUUGAACGCUGGCGGCAUGCCUUACACAUGCAAGUCGAACGGCAGCACGGGAGCAAUCCUGGUGGCGAGUGGCGAACGGGUGAGUAAUAUAUCGGAACGUGCCCAGUCGUGGGGAUAACGUAGCGAAAGCUACGCUAAUACCGCAUACGAUCUAUGGAUGAAAGCGGGGGAUCGCAAGACCUCGCGCGAUUGGAGCGGCCGAUAUCAGAUUAAGUAGUUGGUGAGGUAAAGGCUCACCAAGCCGACGAUCUGUAGCUGGUCUGAGAGGACGACCAGCCACACUGGGACUGAGACACGGCCCAGACUCCUACGGGAGGCAGCAGUGGGGAAUUUUUGGACAAUGGGCGCAAGCCUGAUCCAGCAAUGCCGCGUGCAGGAUGAAGGCCU